ACUGGGUGUAAAGGGGAGCGUAGACGGCAUGGCAAGUCAGAAUGUGAAAGCCCGGGGCUCAACCCCGGGACUGCAUUUGAAAACUGUCAGGCUGGAGUGCAGGGAGAGGUAAGUGGAAUUCCUAGUGUAGCGGUGAAAUGCGUAGAUAUUAGGAGGAACACCAGUGGCGAAGGCGGCUUACUGGACUGUAACUGACGUUGAGGCUCGAAAGCGUGGGGAGCAAACAGG
rnacentral:rRNA from 1 species